ensembl:lncRNA
CUCAAACUAUACGAUCUGCCAAAAAUCCAUAUCUUCUGUACAGACAGUCAUCGGGAAAAGCCAGAGCAGGUUAGCCAUGUAGCUUAAAGUUACCGUGGUGACGAAACCUAGAAACCGGUUCACCUUCUUGAGACAGGAAAACCAGAGUUUGCUCAAACUUAACUCGAACUUACCUGCGUUGCCAAUGAAACCGGUUUCGUGAAACAGGCCUAUGGAAACUGUGCUCUGUUGUGUAUAGAAAUCCAAAAAAAACAAACCAAAAACCUGUGAACAUUGAGGAGCUGAGUGCUUCCUGAGACUGGGGGAGUUCUUUGCUGCACUUUAGGCUUUUACUUAACCAAGGCUGGUGCUGUCGUACUAGCCUGCCCUUCAUACAGGAAGCCUCAGUCCUCCUAUGAUUAUUGUUAAUUUCCUCUUGUGACUGUUUUAUUUGACCAAUGCCUGACUGUGUUGGCUGCUUUUUAUUUAUUUAUUUUUUUAAAUAGUUCUUGGCCAGUGUUUAACUUUUAAAUAAAAUAAACUUUUGUAUGGAA